AAAGAGGGAGUUGACAGGCACGGAAUGUGGCUGCUUGCCACACCCCUGCUUACCUGAGUCACCACAGACAGCUCUUUAGCUGAGUUCACUUAAUGGGGCUUCAUGCUAAUGUGGCCUUGGCCACCGACUCAGUUCCUGCUCCAUCCGGCUAAGGUCCUGUCUCCUGUUCUGUCCUGGCAGCCACUUUAAAAUGUGUGCUGUGACUCAUCAAGGGCCGCUAAAAAGUAUGUAGAAGGAUGGUCUGCCUGCUGGUCCUUCAGCGCUUCCUGAUUCUCAAUGACCACUGAACAGAAUUCUUAGAAGAGCUUUUGUCUGGAAAAUGCCUCACUGGCUGGAGAGACAAAACAGAAACAGAACAUGGUGAUACAAGCAGAUGAAAAAAACCCAGGUGAAGAAAAAGAAGCCUGGAUUAGUUGCUUUUCUCAAGGUCACAGAGGAAGAACUGAGCCAAGGACUCAGGUCUGAAGAAAGGGGAUGCUGCCUAAAGGAGGCAAUUCUUGUGCAAUAAAUCCAGACUGCAAAUAAAGCAAGGCAAGAGGGAGGAAAAUCACAAUGCAAGAAGUUUCCUUUGUUUACUUAAGUUUAAUUGGGAUUCCACACUUGAAUGAAGAACAGAAGAGGUUCUCUCCCAGGGUGACUGAGAAGGCGAAAAAAAAAAAAGGUAGGUUUGCUCUGUCUCUGUGCUUUUUAAUGUGCAAAUUAGAGCCUUUCUCAGCCCAAGAGAGUCUGUAGUUCUGAGUAGAGGUCCAGUGUCUCCGUGGGUGCUCAGUAAAUAUUAAUUGAAGAGGGUGACGGUUUUGAGGAGUGGGCUUAAUUACAUUCUGUCAGGCACAAGCCCUCUAGCCAUGCACAGAAAGGUCCCCUGUCUCUUGCCCUAAGCACCACCCGAGUGACCCCGCUGGUUGAUGGGAAAGGUCUCAGUUCUCACAUUUGUCUUCCACCUCAUCUGCAGGCCUCCUUCCCAACGCACUCUGCCUUCUGCACUCAGAGGCUGAUGAGAACAAACAGGGAAGAGUAGAAACAACAGCUGCCGCAGCCUCACUUCUUGUCGAGCUUCCUCUGACGAGCUGUCCGCAGAAACUUCCUUGGGCUGGCAGGAAAAGGCGGGGCUGAAAGGGUGGGCUGGAGAAUUAGGUGAGGGCUGCAGCAAGGAGCAGGGUAUGGUGGUGGUGUUAUCAUUCCCAGCAACUCACGCCCUUCCUGAGAGAGGAUUACACAGCUUGCGGUGUCUCCUGUGGGGGAGUGCACACUGUACCUCGGACGUCAGGCUUGGGCAUGUGAGUACUCUGGCCACUGGCGUGUGGGAGACCUUGACUAUGUCUCAUCUGAGCAAAAGCUUUAAGAGUCUGCAAUGGACUGAAUGGUUGUUUUUCCCCAGAAUUCACGUACUGAAGCCCUACCCCGUCAGUGUGAUGGUAUUUGGAGGUACGGCCUUUGGGAGCUGAUCAGGUCAGGAGGAUGGGAUUAGUGUCCUUUUCAGAAGAGAUGCAAGAGAGACAGUCUCUUUCCGGCCAUGUGAGGACACAGUGAGAAGGUGGCUGUCUGCAAGCCAGGAAGUGGACCCUCACCAGACACUGUAUCUGCUGGUACCUUGAUCUUGGACUUCCCAACCUCCAGACCUGGGAGAAAUAAAUGUUUGUAGUUUAAGUUA